GCAGCAGCCGCGGGAACACAGAGGGUGCGAGCGUUAAUCGGAUUUACUGGGCGUAAAGCGUGCGUAGGCGGCUAAUUGAGUCGGAUGUGAAAUCCCCGAGCUUAACUUGGGAAUUGCAUUCGAUACUGGUUAGCUAGAGUGUGGGAGAGGAUGGUAGAAUUCCAGGUGUAGCGGUGAAAUGCGUAGAGAUCUGGAGGAAUACCGAUGGCGAAGGCAGCCAUCUGGCCUAACACUGACGCUGAGGUACGAAAGCAUGGGGAGCAAACAGGAUUAGAUACCCCCGUAGUCCCUGUCUCUUAUAC
rnacentral:rRNA from 1 species